GGCGCACGGGUGAGUAACGCGUGGAUUAUCUACCUACUGGUAAGGGACAACAGUUGGAAACGACUGCUAAUACCUUAUACGCUGGUAACGGGAAAGGGGGCCUCUUCUUGAAAGCUCUCGCCAGUAGAUGAGUCCGCGUUUCAUUAGCUAGACGGUGGGGUAACGGCCUACCGUGGCAACGAUGAAUAGCAGGCCUGAGAGGGUGGCCUGCCACACUGGGACUGGAACACGGCCCAGACUCCUACGGGAGGCAGCAGUGGGGAAUAUUGCGCAAUGGACGAAAGUCUGACGCAGCGACGCCGCGUGGAGGAUGAAGGUUUUCGGAUCGUAAACUCCUGUCAAGAGGGAAGAAACCUAUUAGAGUUAAUAGCUCUAGUAAUUGACGGUACCUCUAGAGGAAGCACCGGCUAAUUCAGUGCCAGCAGCCGCGGUAAUACUGAAGGUGCAAGCGUUAAUCGGAAUCACUGGGCGUAAAGCGCUCGUAGGUGGCUUUGUAAGUCAGAUGUGAAAGCCCAGGGCUCAACCCUGGAAUUGCAUUUGAUACUGCAUCGCUAGAGUAUAGGAGAGGGAAGUGGAAUUUCUGGUGUAGGAGUGAAAUCCGUAGAGAUCAGAAGGAACACCCGUGGCGAAGGCGACUUCCUGGACUAUUACUGACACUGAGGAGCGAAAGCGUGGGGAGCAAACAGGAUUAGAUACCCUGGUAGUCCACGCCGUAAACGAUGGGUACUAAGUGUCGGAGGCUUGACCUUCGGUGCUGUA
rnacentral:rRNA from 1 species